GGUCUCCAACAGGUUCUUCACAGUGUUAUAAAGGUCAUGUCAGGGUGUGAGGCAAGGGAUUUGUUUGUGUCAUUACAGAGGAUCAAUGCUUGAUUUGGCUACCCAGAAAAAGAAUUAAGAUACGAUAUGAAGAAGAACUCCCAACAUCAACAUCCUCCAGAAAAGUUGCUCCAGAGGAUGGCCACCAACAAACUUCACCACUGGAAUGAAGCUUCCUGGAUAGUGAAGUGUUUGUGGUGUGGGACGUAUUCUUCCUGCUCUUAUAGACCAUCCUGGAUAUAAACACAAACAAGUUUCUCGAGCCCUGCCACCUGAUUGUGAUGACAACUUGAAGUUGUUGGAUCCUUUCUACACUGCAUUCAUCUUGCCAGUUCCAGGACUCGUCGUAGGAAUGCAGAACGAAAUAUCCAAGCUGGCCUGUGCAUACAGUAAAACAACAAAUCUGACUGCUUCUGUAUUAUCUGAACUCAACCAAGAACUGGGAGAAGUACGAGUUGCAGUACUUCAAGAUUGCGCUACUAUAGACUAUCUGUUGUUAAAAGAACAUAUGGGAUGUGAACAGUUUCCAGGCAUGUGUUGUUUUAAUUUGUCUGACUUUUCUCAAACUAUUCACAAUCAAUUAGAUAAUAUUCAUCAUAUUAUUGAUAAGUUUUCUGAAAUGCCUGAGUUACCUAACUGGUUUUCUUGGUUUCACUGGAUAUGGCCAGUAAUUGUA